rnacentral:misc_RNA from 1 species
GCAAACUUGGUCAUUUAGAGGAAGUAAAAGUCGUAACAAGGUUUCCGUAGGUGAACCUGCGGAAGGAUCAUUAAAGAAAUAAACUUGAUGGAUUGUUGCUGGCUCUCGAGCAAUUCGUGCACGUCCGUCAUUUUUAUCUUUCCACCAAUGUGCACCCUCAAGCAUAGCGGUCUGAAUCUCGUUGCCUCGCGCCGAGAACCUUUUUUCAUGUGGGAAUUGCGAUUCCGGUCGCUCUCUCCCUACUCUAUUCAGGCCCUGUGUUUGUUAAUUUUAUAUAUACACCACGCAUGUCAAAGAACGCAUAUCCAAAGGCCUUCGCGCCUUAUAAAACAAUAAUACAACUUUCAGCAACGGAUCUCUUGGCUCUCGCAUCGAUGAAGAACGCAGC